rnacentral:rRNA from 1 species
GACGAACGCUGGCGGCGUGCUUAACACAUGCAAGUCGAACGGAAAGGCCCUGCUUUUGUGGGGUGCUCGAGUGGCGAACGGGUGAGUAACACGUGAGUAACCUGCCCUUGACUUUGGGAUAACUUCAGGAAACUGGGGCUAAUACCGGAUAGGAGCUCCUGCUGCAUGGUGGGGGUUGGAAAGUUUCGGCGGUUGGGGAUGGACUCGCGGCUUAUCAGCUUGUUGGUGGGGUAGUGGCUUACCAAGGCUUUGACGGGUAGCCGGCCUGGGAGGGUGACCGGCGACCUGGCGCCGGAGCGGGGCCCCGGUCGCGAAGGGGGGGCAAGGGGGGAAAGUAUGAUACAGGGGUAGGGGGCCAGUGCCGCAACCGCCCGGGGGGGAAAGCCGUCUUGGGGGUAGAGACCGGAUUCAGCUUGGGACGAGGCGGGAAUGACGGUAAUGGGAAAAGAAGCACCGGCUAACUCCGUG